UACGUAGGGUGCGAGCGUUAAUCGGAAUUACUGGGCGUAAAGCGUGCGCAGGCGGUUUUGUAAGCCAGAUGUGAAAGCCCCGGGCUUAACCUGGGAAUGGCAUUUGGGACUGCAAGGCUUGAGUGCGGCAGAGGAGACUGGAAUUCCUGGUGUAGCAGUGAAAUGCGUAGAUAUCAGGAGGAAUACCGCUGGCGAAGGCAGGUCUCUGGGCUGACACUGACGCUCAUGCACGAAAGCGUGGGGAGCAAGCAGG
rnacentral:rRNA from 1 species